rnacentral:rRNA from 1 species
AGUGAACGCUGGCGGUAGGCCUAACACAUGCAAGUCGAACGGCAGCACAGUAAGAGCUUGCUCUUACGGGUGGCGAGUGGCGGACGGGUGAGGAAUACAUCGGAAUCUACUUUUUCGUGGGGGAUAACGUAGGGAAACUUACGCUAAUACCGCAUACGACCUACGGGUGAAAGCAGGGGAUCUUCGGACCUUGCGCGAUUGAAUGAGCCGAUGUCGGAUUAGCUAGUUGGCGGGGUAAAGGCCCACCAAGGCGACGAUCCGUAGCUGGUCUGAGAGGAUGAUCAGCCACACUGGAACUGAGACACGGUCCAGACUCCUAAGGGAGGCAGCAGUGGGGAAUAUUGGACAAUGGGCGCAAGCCUGAUCAAGCCAUACCGCGUGAGUGAAGAAGGCCUUCGGGUUGUAAAGCCCUUUUGUUGGGAAAGAAAAGCAGCAGGUUAAAACCCCGCUGUUCUGACGGUACCCAAAGAAUAAGCACCGGCUAACUUCGUG